AAGACGAAGGAAAGAAAAGGGAAGGAAAAAAGAGAGUGUGAAGCGUGUGAGUGGGAGUGCAUCUGCGUGUGCGUGCAAGUCUAUGAGGAUUGUUGUAUUAAUGCUUAUGUUGAUGUGAGGUGUGAAUUGUGAUGUGAGUGAAGUGUUACUCCAGAAUUACUCCUGCAGUGUGUAAAAAUGGAUCACAGUGUGAAAGCAAUGAACUCUCACCGUAAACUUGCACUGAGCCGAUUAUUGAAUCGCCACCGUUUCGAAAACCUGGAGCUGGAGGGACUUUUUCAGCGCUAUAUUUUUAAGUUGCAACACUCGUCCAUUUCCUGCCUGGUGGCUCUGCUGAUCGUGGUGACAGGAUUUUUGGCGAGUCUCUCCUUUGUGCUGGUGAAGAAGGCGACGCUGGAGAAUACUCAUCACAGCAUUCAUUGCUUGAUAUUUGUGGUUUUGUUUGUGUUUUUAGCGACCAAGUCCCUGGAUGACGUGUAUUUGGGUUAUGUUUGCUACCUGAUUUUGGUUCUAAGUGCUUCUUUUUGUGUGUGCUCCUUUCCUUUUUCGAGGUGGGAAGACUCGGUGGAAGUGGAAGGAGUGUGGCAAGUCCUGCUGGUUCUCUUCCUCACCUACUCCAUGCUGCCCUUGCAAACAUGGAUCGCCAUUUCCUAUGGACUCUCUCUGUCUUUGCUCCACGUCCUCGUGUCUGUCUUCUUCACGCUCAACAAGCUUCAUCUUCAUUGGCAACAGAUCUGUGCUAAUCUCUGUAUUUUUCUAUCAGUUAAUAUUGUUGGUUUCUUCAUACACAACUUGACAGAACAGGCUCAGCGAAGAGCUUUUUUAGAUACACGCAACUGCAUCGCAUCCCGUUUAGAGAUUGAAGAUGAAAAUGAAAAAUUAGAGAGAUUGUUGCUGUCUGUUCUUCCGCAACAUGUUGCCAUUGAGAUGAAACAAGAUAUUAUGUCUCCUGUAGCCGGACAAUUUCAUAAAAUUUAUAUCCAGAGACAUGAAAAUGUGUCCAUUUUGUUUGCAGACAUAGUUGGUUUUACUGUAUUAUCUUCUCAAUGUUCUGCUCAAGAGUUAGUCCGUUUAUUAAACGAAUUAUUCGGGAGAUUUGAUCAGCUUGCAAAUCAACAUAACUGUUUACGUAUAAAAAUUCUCGGUGAUUGCUAUUACUGUGUGUCAGGGCUUCCUGAGUCUUGCUACGAACAUGCUCGGAACUGCGUUGAAAUGGGUUUGGAUAUGAUUGAAGCUAUAAGAUUGUUUGUUGAAGCUACAGAUGUUAACCUUAACAUGCGUGUCGGAGUGCAUACUGGUCGUGUUUUGUGUGGAGUUUUGGGACUAAGAAAGUGGCAGUAUGAUGUUUGGUCAAAUGACGUGACUUUAGCUAAUCAUAUGGAAUCCGGAGGACUCGCGGGGAGGGUUCAUAUUACCCAAUCGACAUUGGAUCAUCUAGAUGGAGAAUACGAUGUUGAACCCGGAAAUGGUUAUACUAGGGAUAUUUAUCUGAGGGAAACUGGAAUUCAAACUUUUUUUAUCAUUUCUCCGCUGAAAAGACAAAAACCUUCACUAUUUGAUACCCUUCAACUUAAUCAAUCAAUCAUUACAAGUGGAACAAAAAGACGCCCUUCUUUCAAAAUGGUUUCAAAUAUGGUUAUUCAGUUGCUACACAGUAUAAAAUAUUCGGUUGAAGUUCCUUUCUCGAAUAUAUCCCAGAAUAAUGUUGAACUGAGUAAGAAUUCAUCGACAAUUUGUGCUGCCAUAAAUUCAAGGAAGAACAUUAAAUUGUCUGAACGCAUCAUGCUAAAGAAAAAACGAUUUACAUCCUUGACUCCGACGAGUCGUGUUAAUAAGUUUUUGUCACAAGCAAUUGAAGCUCGUUCAGUCGAUCAGGAAAAGACUAGUCAUGUAAAUCUUAUUUCUCUUUGUUUUAAAGAUUCAAAUAAGGAAAAACAAUAUCAAGAAGAUAUUGAUCCAAGUUUUCCAGGAGCCUUAGUUUGCUGUUUACUCCUACUCUUGCUAUUAGGAGGUAUACAAGUUCUUGUUUUACCUCGCACUCUCAUACUUCUGUUACUUUUCCUUACCUCUUUUGCCUGGAUUUCUAUAGUUCUAAUGUUGAUCCUUGCCGUUAGAUUAAAUUGUAUAUUUUGGGAUAUCUCUAAGUCAUUCUUACUCAGACUGGCCAUCACUACUUUUUCUAUUGUUCUUAUCUAUACAACUAUUCAAGUGAAUGUGUUUACAUGUUCUGCAGAUUGUAUAUCUGAUUGUACAAAUAGCUGCCAUCGUUGGUGCCCUCUUCCACAUUACAUAGUCAUCAAUUGCCUUAUUGGAUUUUUAACUGUUUCUACAUUUUUGAAAUUACCUUUUAUGAUCAAAUCGUUACUUUUAGGAGCAAUGGCUCUAGUCUACAUACUUUUGAUUGAACUAUCCCAUAAAUCACUAUUUCUAUGUUAUGAUCAACAGUUUAGGAGCUCUAUUCCUCUUGACGUAUCUUCAAUUGUUAUUUUAAUUAUAUUCCUGUUUGGAGUAACUUUACAUGGACGUCAAGUAGAGUGGAUGACCCGAUUGGAUUUUCUUUGGCAGAUACAAGCGAGAGAUGAAAAGUUUGAUAUGGAAGCGUUACAAAAUUCUAAUAGAAGAAUUUUAUUUAAUUUAUUACCUGCUCAUGUCGCAACGCACUUUUUGGACUCUCAAUUUCGAAAUAAUUUGGAACUUUAUAGCCAGUCAUACUCUCGAGUCGGGGUUAUAUUUGCAAGUAUAACUAAUUUUCAUGAAUUCUAUAUGGAAUUGGAUCUCAAUAAUCAAGGUGUCGAAUGCUUACGGCUCUUAAAUGAAAUUAUAGCGGAUUUUGACGAACUCAUAAGUGAGGAACGUUUCCGAGCUAUAGACAAAAUAAAGACAAUUGGAUCUACUUAUAUGGCUGCAGUCGGACUUUUUCCUGAAUAUAAAAUUCUUGAAGAAAAAGAAGAUUUGAGCGCUAGUGCUGUACAUUACAUGUCAAUUUUGAUCGAAUUUGCAUUGGGUUUACGUCUCAAAUUAUCAAAUAUUAAUGAAAAUUCAUAUAAUAAUUUUAUGCUUAGAAUUGGUUGUAACGUUGGACCUGUUGUUGCAGGUGUGAUUGGAGCAAGAAAACCACAGUAUGAUAUAUGGGGUAAUACUGUCAAUGUAGCAUCGCGAAUGGAGUCUACAGGUCUUCCAAAUCAUACUCAAGUUACCGAAGAAGUUUAUAAUGUAUUAAAAAGUGAGUCUUUUGAAUUCAAAUGUCGUGGGAAAAUCAAAGUGAAAGGAAAAGGAGAAAUGACUACAUUUUUCUUGGUGGAUAGGAGGUUAGAUAUAGCAAGGCCCGAUGAUUUGGCUCAUGCACAUCAAAAGCAUAAAUGGGCUAGUAAUUUCAAUAUCCCGCCUAGAUUCACAAGUCCAUUAACUUCUCAAUCAGAAUUAAAAAAUCAGCAGUUAGUCGUUCCUUCUCAACAGCUUUUCUUUAAUACAAAAAUUUCUAAAAUGAAUGAAGAAACUGAACCACUAAUUCCUCCACGUACAACUUCAAAGGGUAUAAUUCCAAUUAGAAAUACUUGUAUAGAUGCAAAACAUUCCAUAGACAAAACUGAACAUGUUAGGAUGACUUAUAAUAAUCACAGAAGAACAUUUGCAAAACCUCCUUCAAACUUACAGAGUACUGAUUCUAUUGUACAGACAAAUUUUAAUCUCUGUUAUCGUCGAUCAAAUGACUAUCAACAUAAUAUAAAAUUAAAUCGCUACUACAGUGAUGAGAAUUUGCAUUAUCGAGGAAAAUAUUUAAUACCUCGUCCUAGAGUUCAUUCUUCUGCUGAUGAGAUCUCAUCAUUAAAUCAUAGUCCAUCAAUUUCUUCUUCAGAUGAAAGUUUUUCCUAUCUUAAUACAAACGAUGCCACAGCUAUCGGAAGUCAUUCACCACCAAGACCUAAGAAUCAUGCUCCUUGGGUUUACCCUUCUAGUGUCCAAGAAGGAUCAUUGACCUUCGAAGUGUCACCUAGCUUGAGAUGUAAUAAGUUAGAGAAUAAAUUUAUUGAAUUGCCUAUUCUAGGAAGUACUCCUUCUCAAAUAACUGAUAUUAAAAAUACUAGUAGUUCUAAAUAUAACGAGUCUCUUAGAGAUCGUUUACAUUUGCCUUCUGGAGUUGAAUCUUGUAAGAGUGGAAUGUCUAGUCCUUUAGAAUCAAUUUAUAAAGGUGAUUCAUGUGGUUCCUUUGAAUUUUUGCCCAACAAUGUGACAACGUCGUUAAAAAAUAAAGUGAUUGGUGCAUCAUCAAGUUUAAUCGAAACAAAUGAAGACAAUCUUUUCUUUUCUCCAACACCCAAGAAAUUAAUUGAAUCUGCAACUGCCAUAUUGACGCAAAUACAGAACCUCAGAUGUGGUUCUGAGCUACAGGAUGAAACUAAAGGGUAUAAAUAUGUGGAGGAUGAGAUACUUCUCAACAUUCAAAAAAGUAUCAAACCACCUAUUAACGACAUAUCCUUAGUGACUAGCCAAGUUGGAUUUGCUGCUGUUCGAGAAAUGGCAAGAAUUCAAGAGGAUGAACUACACAAUCUCGAUGAUAUCCAAUGUUCUGUUAGUAAUUCUACUAGCGAUCAAUUUUUUAUAGAUGACACUGUUUUACAAAAUAGUAAACAAGUAGUAGAAGAAAGAAUAUCUGGUUACGACAAUAUAGACUUAACUGAGAAAAAAGCAAAUGAUUCAUGGAUAAGCUCAGCUGUUGUAUUAAAUAGAGAAUCUGAACAAAGAGAAAUAGAUGAAUUUGAAGAGGAAGAGCGUAAAAUUAUUGAAUCAGAAUCCUUGUGCAACCGGGGUGAAUCUCAAACCAUGGUCCUAUAUGAAGUUUUGGCAUACAAAAAUAUAUACGAGCAUCCAAAGAUACGUUAAUACCCUUUUCAUAAAUACGUAGAGCCAAAUGUUUAUCAAGUUCAAUGUUUUUGAAAUCGUGUUCCCUAUCGUGUUUUUUAUUUAUAAAGAAAGAAAAUGAAAUCGGAAUGGGUUCACAAUUUAUUUUUAUAAUAAUAAUUGAAAAUAUUAUUAUUCCUCAUGGGAAUCUUCUAAUCAUGCAACCAAUAUGACACCAGCAAGUCGAUUGUUUGCUAUGCAUGGCCGCUGGACGGGUGGCAAAAGAGAAGAAAAUGAAAUGCGCCGACUAAUGAAUCAACAAUCCAGAAUAUCUGAAACUCUUUCCGAAACAAGUCAAUCAGAUGCUUGGUCGGAAGAUAUUUCUAAUAGUUGUUACGAAAUUGAAGAUGAUACAGAAACUGAAGCA
rnacentral:misc_RNA from 1 species